rnacentral:circRNA from 1 species
GAGUCAGAAAUACCAUCAGAGGAGGGGUACUGUGACUUUAAUAGUAGGCCAAAUGAGAACUCUUAUUGCUAUCAACUUCUGCGACAACUAAAUGAACAGAGAAAGAAAGGUAUUCUUUGUGAUGUCAGCAUUGUGGUAAGCGGAAAAAUCUUCAAAGCUCAUAAGAACAUCCUGGUUGCAGGCAGCCGUUUCUUUAAGACUUUAUAUUGCUUUUCAAACAAAGAAAGCCCUAACCAAAACAAUACUACCCACUUAGAUAUUGCUGCAGUUCAAGGUUUUUCAGUCAUCUUGGACUUCUUGUAUUCUGGUAACCUGGUGCUCACAAGCCAAAAUGCCAUUGAAGUUAUGACCGUGGCCAGCUAUCUUCAAAUGAGUGAAGUUGUUCAAACUUGCCGAAAUUUCAUUAAAGAUGCCUUAAAUAUAAGCAUUAAAUCAGAAGCUCCAGAGUCUGUAGUUGUGGACUAUAAUAAUAGAAAACCAGUUAAUAGAGAUGGUCUGUCUUCAUCACGGGAUCAAAAAAUUGCCAGUUUUUGGGCAACACGGAAUCUUACCAAUUUGGCAAGUAAUGUAAAGAUUGAAAAUGAUGGUUGUAAUGUCGACGAGGGCCAAAUAGAAAACUACCAAAUGAAUGACAGUAGUUGGGUCCAGGAUGGAUCUCCUGAAAUGGCUGAAAAUGAAUCUGAAGGUCAAACAAAAGUGUUUAUUUGGAAUAAUAUGGGCUCCCAGGGAAUUCAAGAGACUGGCAAAACAAGGAGGAAAAACCAAACUACAAAAAGAUUUAUUUAUAAUAUUCCACCUAAUAAUGAAACGAAUUUAGAAGAUUGCUCAGUAAUGCAGCCACCUGUUGCCUAUCCAGAAGAAAAUACACUACUCAUCAAGGAAGAACCAG